rnacentral:piRNA from 1 species
UGGUUCUUGCACAAAAUGCCUCUUUCAUGGU